rnacentral:misc_RNA from 1 species
GCAACAAAAAUAAAAAAGGUAGAAAACUAGAAAUAUAUCUACAAGAAUGUUUUUCGUUUCAAGAAGAGAAUGAGUCAUGUAUACAGUCAUGUAUACUGAUUCUUUAUUAGAAACUUGAGCAAGUUAAAACAAAAAGUGCUUUCCCUGCACACAACAAAGGGGAUCACAGUAAUGAUUCACAGUUGGAACAGUAAUACACAGUGGUUAGUAACUUCCAUGGUUCUUGUUUAAUCAUCCAUGCAGAGUGGUUCAAAAGUACGCA